UGGGGAAUAUUGGACAAUGGGGGGAACCCUGAUCCAGCCAUGCCGCGUGUGUGAAGAAGGCCUUAUGGUUGUAAAGCACUUUAAGCGAGGAGGAGGGUACUGGUAUUAAUACUACCAGCUACUGGACGUUACUCGCAGAAUAAGCACCGGCUAACUCUGUGCCAGCAGCCGCGGUAAUACAGAGGGUGCGAGCGUUAAUCGGAUUUACUGGGCGUAAAGCGUGCGUAGGUGGUUCGUUAAGUUGAAUGUGAAAGCCCCGGGCUCAACCUGGGAACUGCAUCCAAAACUGGCGAGCUAGAGUAGGGCAGAGGGUGGUGGAAUUUCCUGUGUAGCGGUGAAAUGCGUAGAUAUAGGAAGGAACACCAGUGGCGAAGGCGACCACCUGGGCUCAUACUGACACUGAGGUGCGAAAGCGUGGGGAGCAAACAGG
rnacentral:rRNA from 1 species